CUGUCAUGAGAAAUGUGACUCAGCAGAUCAACGAACGCAAGCGACGUUUAGAGAAUAUUGACAAGAUUGCUCAGUGGCAGGCUUCUGUCCUAGACUGGGAGGGCGAGGACAUCCUAGACAGGAGCUCGGAGCUGAUCUACACUGGGGAGAUGGCCUGGAUCUACCAGCCCUACGGCCGCAACCAGCAGCGGGUCUUCUUCCUGUUUGACCACCAGAUGGUCCUCUGCAAGAAGGCUUUGAAAUUUCUGAAAACCAGAAGAGGCAGGCUGCAAUGACUGUGAGAAAAGUCCCUAAGCAAAAAGGUGUCAACUCUGCCCGCUCAGUUCCUCCUUCCUACCCACCACCGCAGGACCCGUUAAACCACGGCCAGUACCUGGUCCCCGACGGCAUCGCUCAGUCGCAGGUCUUUGAGUUCACCGAACCCAAGCGCAGCCAGUCACCAUUCUGGCAAAACUUCAGCAGGUUAACCCCCUUCAAAAAAUGAUACCUACAGGGAGGCAGAUAAUUUUAAAAUAAAGUAAAUAAAAUUA
rnacentral:lncRNA from 1 species